GGGGAAUAUUGCACAAUGGGCGAAAGCCUGAUGCAGCAACGCCGCGUGAGUGAUGAAGGCCUUCGGGUUGUAAAGCUCUGUCUUCUGGGACGAUAAUGACGGUACCAGAGGAGGAAGCCACGGCUAACUACGUGCCAGCAGCCGCGGUAAUACGUAGGUGGCAAGCGUUGUCCGGAUUUACUGGGCGUAAAGGAUGCGUAGGCGGAUAUUUAAGUGAGAUGUGAAAAUCCCGGGCUUAACUUGGGAACUGCAUUUCAAACUGGGUAUCGAGAGUGCAGGAGAGGAAAGCGGAAUUCCUAGUGUAGCGGUGAAAUGCGUAGAGAUUAGGAAGAACACCAGUGGCGAAGGCGAGUCUCUGGACCGUAACUGACGCUGAGGCAUGAAAGCGUGGGGAGCAAAC
rnacentral:rRNA from 1 species